GGGACGCAUUAUAAAUGCAUUAAUCCUUAUAGUCAAUCCUGUGCCUAGGAUUUUGCAAGGGAACAGUUCACUGACUAGGAAAAGCACUACAUUUAAAUUCAGCAUUAGUGCACUGGGAAGGAUCGUUUCUGCUUUGUGCUUGGCAUGUCAUUAUUUCCCACUUGACAUUAGGGCCUUUCCAGAUGAAUGUGAGGAAUUGCUUUCACUUCAAGACUUUCCUUCUUUUCAGUAAAACUUUAGGAGAUGUAAUGGGGAAAAGGGAGGGGGACAGAAAUCCUUGAACUUUUUAUUUGGCGUGUGCCAUGUUAUGAUCAUGUACCUUUUCAAUAAGGGGAGAUAGUAUCUUUAAAGUCAAUGUCUAGC
rnacentral:lncRNA from 1 species